UACGGAGGGUGCGAGCGUUAUCCGGAUUUAUUGGGUUUAAAGGGUCCGUAGGCGGUUUAAUAAGUCAGUGGUGAAAUUCUGUUGCUCAACAAUAGACGUGCCAUUGAUACUGUUAGACUUGAAUCAGAUUGCAGUGGUUGGAAUGUGUGGUGUAGCGGUGAAAUGCAUAGAUAUCACACAGAACACCGAUUGCGAAGGCAGAUCACUAAGUCUGUAUUGACGCUGAUGGACGAAAGCGUGGGGAGCGAACAGG
rnacentral:rRNA from 1 species